GAUGAACGCUGGCGGCGUGCCUAACACAUGCAAGUCGAGCGAAGCAGUUUUAAGGAAGUUUUCGGAUGGAAUUAAGACUGACUGAGCGGCGGACGGGUGAGUAACGCGUGGGUAACCUGCCUCAUACAGGGGGAUAACAGUUAGAAAUGGCUGCUAAUACCGCAUAAGCACACAGCUUCGCAUGGAGCAGUGUGAAAAACUCCGGUGGUAUGAGAUGGACCCGCGUCUGAUUAGCUAGUUGGUAAGGUAACGGCUUACCAAGGCGACGAUCAGUAGCCGACCUGAGAGGGUGACCGGCCACAUUGGGACUGAGACACGGCCCAAACUCCUACGGGAGGCAGCAGUGGGGGAUAUUGCACAAUGGGGGAAACCCUGAUGCAGCGACGCCGCGUGAGUGAAGAAGUAUCUCGGUAUGUAAAGCUCUAUCAGCAGGGAAGAAAAUGACGGUAC
rnacentral:rRNA from 1 species